AUCGAUUUAAGUUAGCUUUGAUAUUGUUUUCAAUAGUUGUUUCAUUAAAAUUGUAUGUCUGUGUGGGAGGACCUUUUUUCAGUUUGAAAUACUAAUGAUGAGCGUUAGCAUUAAAAGCUGAAAAUUGAGUUUUACAGAGCUCGGCUUUAUAGCAUUUGUUUGCGAUAGUCCAGCAAAUCAUCGCAAUCAGUAGCUGAUUGCGAUGUGUAUGAAGCUUUGUCGUUUUGGCUGUGGAAUUCCAGUGCCGAGGGCGUGUUGUGGACCAUGUGGACAGUGCUCAUUUGGAUGUGCAAGAUGCUGUUUUACCUGCUGUGGGUUAUACCCAGAGAGCUUUUGCGGUCCCUGCAGUGAGUCCUCUUUCGAUCCAGCUUGGUUCAGCUGGCUGGCCCCAAAUAACUGCUGCAAUCGGUCAUGCUGCUAAGCUUAUUUUUGCUGGGCUAUUGUAAAUAUUAGGCCAAUGGACUUUUAAUAAAUCUCAAGCAAUAGACAGAUAA